GGUUUCGUGGUGUAGUUGGUUAUCACGUCUGUCUAACACACAGACGGUCACCGGUUCGAAUCCGGUCGAAACCA